rnacentral:rRNA from 1 species
UACGGGGGGGGCAAGCGUUGUUCGGAAUUACUGGGCGUAAAGGGCUCGUAGGUGGCCAACUAAGUCAGACGUGAAAUCCCUCGACUCUAACCGGGGAACUGCGUCUGAUACUGGAUGGCUUGAGUUCGGGAGAGGGAUGCGGAAUUCCAGGUGUAGCGGUGAAAUGCGUAGAUAUCUGGAGGAACACCGGUGGCGAAGGCGGCAUCCUGGACCGACACUGACGCUGAGGAGCGAAAGCCAGGGGAGCAAACGGG